CGCUCCCGCUCCCGCUACCUCCUCUUCCCCUCCCCACCCUCGGCUCGGGCUCGGGCUCGCGGGGCUCCAUCUUCCUCAAGGACGGGCCCAGCCAGCCCAAAUACUCACCCUCCCCCUCUCCCUCCCUCUCGCCACCCACAAACCCUAACCCUAGCUCCCCGCCCCCGCCCCCGGCUCGCCGCCGCCCCAUCUUCGCAGCCCCGCUGCUCGCCCCCCGAGGUAAGGCCAGCCAGCCCCGGCGUUUCUAGGGUUCUUCUCCGCCGUGGCGAGGGGGUUUGGGUUGUUUUUUGGGGGUGCACGCGCGGGUCUCCAGUUGCUCGCCGCCGCGCUCCUGCUCUCCCCCAUCAGCGGCUCGAGGCUUGAUUUUGGCGUCCUCUCUUCUAGUAUGUUUUAACUUGCUCUCGCCGCCUUCUCUCCCACUCUCAGUCUCACUCUAUGUAUGCACUACACCACUAGUGUCUACUAUGGCCUUGCUGCAAGCUCAUGUUCGGCGGGAUUGGGGUGCCACACCAUCUGACCACUAUUGACAGAUAGCCCUUCUCAUCCUGGCUUGAUAUGAUAGCCCGGCUUCACUCCACGAAUCUGCUGGCUAGCUGCAGUUUAUGCCUUAUUAUAACACCGCACCAUGAUUCAUUGUAACCAUCUCACUGCAAUGCACGCAGGUAGCGCCGCCGCCCCCGGCUAGCCCAGCCCAUCUUCUCCAGACGAGCCGCCCGCCCGCCCGCCCGCCGCGCCAUGGAGGGGCUCCGGAACCCUCCGCUCAGCGCCUCCGCCGAAGUCGUCAUGAAGAAGAGGCCCAGGAGCGUCGCCUCCAGGAAGCCAAGGCCCAAGGAGCAGCUCGCCUCCGAGUACAAGGACAUCUCCUGCACGCCCUCCCCGGACGACCACCUCGGCACCAGCCACCGCAGCAGGAAGGAGCUCUUCCUCAACGGCCCUCAAAUCAGGGGCUCCAGGCCGCAUGACGUGUCCAACAAGGCUAGGAGAGAGGACAGGGAUCAUGAUGCUCGCACCGGCGCUGUAAACCAUAGCAGCCCUGCGCCGUCCUUCUCAACAAACUCUGGACCCCCCCUCGACACCUCACACUUGCCCUCACCAGACACCACUAAUGCGCCACCACCACCAAAUAGGUUGAGAAAAGUUAAGCUCAAGGUUAGCGGACUUAACCGGACUAUGCAGACCAAACCCAUCCAAGAGGUUGCUGACGCUGGCCCUCCUGGCACGUCGGAUGCCUCUUCUCAUCACCAUAAGCACAAGGAUUCUGGUGAGCAGAAGCAUUACAGUAGAAGCAAAGAUACUCAUGGUAAUCGCACUGAUGGAAAACGUGGAGAUAAGCAGGACAUUUCACCAUCUUCUGACCUUGUUCGCAAGAGCAAAAGGGUUCCUAAGAAGCGAACUCUUGAUUCUGAUGAUGAAGAUGGUGAAUUACGUUAUCUUGAAAAACUUAAGGUGGCCAAAGCUGCACAAGAACAUCCCAUAGCUACUAACAGUCCUCUAGCUUAUGGUUAUGGCGAGGAUGGUCUCAGGAAAAAGAAGCUACCCAAGGUUUCUAGAACUAAGGGCUCUCCAUAUGAAGUGGACAAUGACUUCACAAUGUCACAAUCUAGCAGAGAUGAUAGGAAAAACUUGGAAUUGGAGGAUGGUGAUGAUUUUAUUGAAGAGGAUGAAUCUGGGUUGGAUGAGCCUAGGAGACUGAAGGAAGCUGAUUCACCUUCAAGUGUAAAGGUUGAAGCUCCUGGCCUCACAACCAGGCAGCGAGCCCUUCAUGGCAGGGUUGGCCAUGGUGAAAGUGUGAUUGAAUAUCCUGACGGAUUGCCAGCUGCUACAUCAAGAAAGCAAAAGGAGAAGCUUCCAGACGUGGAGAUACAAGCCAAGAAAGCAGAAGUGGCUCAGAGGCGUAAGAUGCAAGUUGAGAAGGCAGAGAGGGAGCAACAGGCUGAAGCAAUGAGGAAAAUACUUGGGAUUGAUACUGAGAAGAAAAAGGAAGAGAGGAAACAGAAAGAACGGGAAGACAAGGAAAAACAAGCAAGGUUUGAGGAAUAUAAAAGAAGCUGUAUCCAGUGUGUCAUGGGACCAGAAGGAACUGUUAUUACAUUCCCUGAUUCCAUUGGCCUGCCUAGCAUAUUUAGUUCGAAACCUAGCAGCUAUCCUCCUCCAAGGGAGAAGUGCGCAGGCCCGUCGUGCCCAAACCCUUACAAGUACCGUGACUCCAAGACAAAGCUUCCACUCUGCAGUCUGGAGUGCUACAAGGCUGUCCAGGGAAGCAAUCGGACGAUGGCAUGCUGAUCCCGCAAGUAAUGCAGCAACCUUAAACACCAGGGAGCUGGAGAACUGUGUAUUUUGCCUAAUGCCAGCUUGUUUGCUGUUUCUGUGACAUCCCUUAUAACUAGUCUAAUGACCGAGCGCAUCGGCGACAGAUGAGGUGCUUGCUUGCUGGUUUCCCUUUUUGGCUCCAGCUGUGGAUGCAAGCAGGGCCUUGUAAAAGAGUUUGGUUCAUGUAUGUGCUGUCUGACAACUGGGGAAUUAACCAUAUCCAUUGUACAGUAGUCUUGAGGCUUCAUGUGGUGUUAGUAAAUGAUGAAAUGAGCUGUGUUUGGUUGAUA